GGCCGGGGGCCUCUUCCUUUCUUGGCCUGUCUAAUUUGACACGUUUCUGUCUGUCUGCCCUCUGCUUCAAACGGGAGCCCGAAGUGCUUGCCUACAUGACAGAGUCCUACGGAGCUUUCUCAGUCGAUAUUUCAAAAUAAGCAUUGGAGGCAGCGUGUCAGACAAGCGCGGAGAAGCAAGAAAUAUGUGCAGAGGGAAAACAAGGAAGUGAACUGCUCAAUGUCUCUCAGGAACUCAGCCAGCGCCAGGCCAACGUGAAUCAGGGUUCCUGAACGCAGAACCCAUGCUUUGACCACAGAUGAUUGCUUUCCUCUAAACUUAAGGCAGAACCCCAGGACGAUUUCUUUUGAGCCACCCGUGAAGGCGGGCACAAGGCUGGAGACACGCAGGCCCUAGAUGUUUGUGGACGGACGCUGAAUGCUGGCUAGAGACCUUUCAUGGAAACCUCCUGACUUCCACCUCGUGAUCACCCCAAGUGGAACUGGCGCAGAGGAGUGUGAUUGGCAGAUCCCUGAGCACAGCACUGGGAACGGUAUGACUACCCACAUCACGGUGCCCCAAGAACACCUUGAUCCUUUUGUCAGCUGCCAUCCUGGAAGGGAGAGCUUGCACGCCCUGGCAACGAGCUGAGAGAAUUAAGGCAGGUGAGGA